AACCUCCGCAAUGUGAGAAAUCGCGACGGGGGGAUCCCAAGUGCCAUUCUUAACGGGAUGGCUUUUCAUUAGUGUAAAGAGCUUUUGGAAUAAGAGCUGGGCAAGACCGGUGCCAGCCGCCGCGGGUAACACCGGCAGCUCUAGUGGUAACAAUUUUUAUUGGGCCUAAAGCGUCCGUAGCCGGUUUAAUAAGUCUCUGGUGAAAUCCUGCAGCUUAACUGUGGGAAUUGCUGGAGAUACUAUUAGACUUGAGACCGGGAGAGGUUAGAGGUACUCCCAGGGUAGAGGUGAAAUUCUGUAAUCCUGGGAGGACCGCCUGUUGCGAAGGCGUCUAACUGGAACGGUUCUGACGGUGAGGGACGAAAGUUAGGGGCGCGAACCGGAUUAGAUACCCGGGUAGUCCUAACUGUAAACGAUGCGGACUUGGUGUUGGGGUGGCUUUGAGCUGCUUCAGUGCCGAAGGGAAGCUGUUAAGUCCGCCGCCUGGGAAGUACGGUCGCAAGACUGAAACUUAAAGGAAUU
rnacentral:rRNA from 1 species